UCCCUGGAGGACUAGAGGUUAGGCCUUGGCGCUCUCACCGCUGCGGCCCGGGUCCGAUUCCCGGCCAGGGAA
rnacentral:tRNA from 1 species